rnacentral:rRNA from 1 species
CGCCUGUUUUACAAAAACAUGUCCUCUUGAUUAUAUUUUGAGGUCUGGCCUGCUCACUGAUAAAUUUAAAGAGCCGCGGUAUUUUGACCGUGCAAAGGUAGCAUAAUCAUUAGUCUUUUAAUUAAGGGCUGGAAUGAAUGGCUUGACGAGAAAUUAACUGUCUCUUAAUAAUUUAUAAAAUUUAACUUUUGAGUCAAAAGGCUUAAAUUUUUCUUUAGGACGAGAAGACCCUAUAGAGCUUAACAUAUAAUUUAUAUUUAUACAUUAGAUGAUUUUUAUAUAUUUAAUGAUAAUGUUUUGUUGGGGUGACAUGAAGAAUUAAUAAACUCUUCAUUAUAAAAUCAUUAAUUUAUGUUUAUUUUUGAUCCAUAAUUUAUGAUCAUAAGAUUAAGUUACCUUAGGGAUAACAGCGUAAUUGUUUUUGAGAGCUCAAAUCAACAAAGCAGAUUGCGACCUCGAUGUUGGAUUAAGAAAAAUUUUGGGUGC